AUUCCAGCUCCAAUAGCGUAUAUUAAAGUUGUUGCAGUUAAAAAGCUCGUAGUUGGAUUUCUGACAGGGGGCCGAACACCACUGUAGUGAGUGUUUUGGUACCUGUCAUCCUUCUGUUAACCCUAGCGUCAUUCAUUUGUCGUUGGGCGGACCAGAUACUUUACCUUGAGAAAAUUAGAGUGUUUCAGGCAGGCCUAGCCGGAAUACAUUAGCAUGGAAUAAUGGAAUAGGACUAUAGUCUCGUCGUUGGUUACGUGGACUGCAGUAAUGAUUAAUAGGGAUAGUUGGGGGCGAUUACAUUCCGUUGUCAGAGGUGAAAUUCUUGGAUUUACGGAAGAUAAACUACUGCGAAAGCAUUCACCAAGGAUGUCUUCAUCA
rnacentral:rRNA from 1 species